rnacentral:rRNA from 1 species
UACGGAGGAUGCGAGCGUUAUCCGGAUUUAUUGGGUUUAAAGGGUGCGUAGGCGGCGUGUCAAGCAAGCGGUAAAAUACGGGGGCUCAACCUCCGCCCGCCGUUGAAACUGACGGUCUUGAGUGGGCGAGAAGUAUGCGGAAUGCGUGGUGUAGCGGUGAAAUGCAUAGAUAUCACGCAGAACCCCGAUUGCGAAGGCAGCAUACCGGCGCCCUACUGACGCUCAGGCACGAAAGCGUGGGUAUCGAACAGG